rnacentral:rRNA from 1 species
AGCCUGAUGCAGCCAUGCCGCGUGUGUGAAGAAGGCCUUCGGGUUGUAAAGCACUUUCAGAGUGAGGAAGGGGGGUGUUAAUAGCGAUCUUUGACGUUAGCGGCAGAAGAAGCACCGGCUAACUCCGUGCCAGCAGCCGCGGUAAUACGGAGGGUGCGAGCGUUAAUCGGAAUUCCUCGGAACUGCAUUUGAAACUGGCUGACUAGAGUACUGUAGAGGGGGGUAGAAUUUCAGGUGUAGCGGUGAAAUGCGUAGAGAUCUGAAGGAAUACCAGUGGCGAAGGCGGCCCCCUGGACAGAUACUGACACUCAGAUGCGAAAGCGUGGGGAGCAAACAGGAUUAGAUACCCUGGUAGUCCACGCCGUAAACGAUGUCUACUUGGAGGUUGUGGCCUUGAGCCGUGGCUUUCGGAGCUAACGCGUUAAGUAGACCGCCUG